rnacentral:rRNA from 1 species
AUUGAACGCUGGCGGCAUGCCUAACACAUGCAAGUCGAACGGGGCAGCAGUGCCUAGUGGCGGACGGGUGAGGAAUACGUAGGAAUCUGCCCUUAAGUGGGGGAUAACCAGGGGAAACCCUGACUAAUACCGCAUGAUCUCUUCGGAGCAAAGAGGGGGACCGCAAGGCCUCUCGCUUCUGGACGAGCCUACGUCUGAUUAGCUAGUUGGUAGGGUACAGGCCGACCAAGGCGACGCUCAGUAACUGGUCUGAGAGGAUGAUCAGUCACACCGGGACUGAGACACGGUCCGGACUCCUACGGGAGGCAGCAGUGGGGAAUAUUGGACAAUGGGCGCAAGCCUGAUCCAGCAAUGCCGCUUGUGUGACGAAGGCCUUCGGGUUUUAAAGCACUUUAGCCUGGAAAGAAAAAACUUUGGUUAACACCCAAAGUCUUGACGGUACCAGGAGAAUAAGCACCGGCUAACUCUGUGCCAGCCGCCGCGGUAAGAC